GUAAGUUUCUACGUAAGAUGCUCGGUACCUGGUCCUGCAGGGAGGCCGGAGCUACUCCAUGGCUCCUACCAUCGCGCGGCCGGAUGGCCGCAUGCGUGUGCAUUGCAGACUUUUUGUUGUUGCCUUUUCGGAUGUGCAUGCACGAGGAACUUCCUUCUUUGGAACUGCUUCUUGCAUGAGCUGUUUCGGAUAUUUCGUCUCCUGGCCUGGCUUAUUUCGUUUCGGUGCUGCUGAGACCUCCUUUCGCGGAAUAUUACUCAAUGACAGUGUGCGAAGAACGCGAGUUCCCCUUCUCGACGAAAAUCGUGGACUAACAGUUUGAAGUCAUUGAACUACUUCCAAGAGUUGUAUCGACAUCAACAGGAUUACGAUUUCAGUGCAAUAUGAUGCUGGAUGACCUUAUCACAGGCGACAAGCCUCUGGGUCAUCCUAAUAAAGAUAUUAUUAUUAUUAUUAUUAUUAUUAUCACGAUAACCCAUGAUUAUAAACCAUUAUAAACACAGAAUCAACAAAAACAUCUGCGACACGCACCUGGCGCAUGGCUCGAGGGUGGGGAAAUCUGAAAUAUCUGAAAGGCAAGACAAAAUUAUGGCAGAGUCAUGAAAUUCUGCAACAGCAACAUGCACAGAAUGACCUCCGUAUAAAAAAAGUAUCACCACCUGACUACUCACAUGUUUCCCCGCAG